CGAAAGAAAAUUGAGUAAAAGAGAACAUCAGUUGAGCUUUCAUUAUCGACUAGAAUUUUUUUUACAUCAUAGUUUGCUAUCAUCGUCGAAAUGAUGAUAGCAUCAUCAUGGAGAGUUUGUAUCCCCCUAACAUCAUCUUUCAAAAAAAAUUAUAUUAUCAAGUUAUCAUUUCUUUACCAACUCUUCUUUGGAAGCUACCCCC
rnacentral:lncRNA from 1 species